AGAGUUUGAUCAUGGCUCAGAACGAACGCUGGCGGCAGGCCUAACACAUGCAAGUCGAACGCUCCAGCAAUGGAGAGUGGCAGACGGGUGAGUAACACGUGGGAACCUUCCCUUUGGUUCGGAAUAGCUCAGGGAAACUUGAGGUAAUACCGGAUAAGCCCUUACGGGGAAAGAUUUAUCGCCGAAGGAUGGGCCCGCGUCGGAUUAGCUAGUUGGUGGGGUAACGGCCUACCAAGGCGACGAUCCGUAGCUGGUCUGAGAGGAUGAUCAGCCACACUGGGACUGAGACACGGCCCAGACUCCUACGGGAGGCAGCAGUGGGGAAUAUUGGACAAUGGGCGCAAGCCUGAUCCAGCCAUGCCGCGUGAGUGACGAAGGCCUUAGGGUUGUAAAGCUCUUUUGGCGGGGAAGAUAAUGACCGGUACCCGCAGAAUAAGCUCCGGCUAACUUCGUGCCAGCAGCCGCGGUA
rnacentral:rRNA from 1 species